rnacentral:rRNA from 2 species
AAAUUGAAGAGUUUGAUCAUGGCUCAGAUUGAACGCUGGCGGCAGGCCUAACACAUGCAAGUCGAACGGUAACAGGAAGCAGCUUGCUGCUUUGCUGACGAGUGGCGGACGGGUGAGUAAUGUCUGGGAAACUGCCUGAUGGAGGGGGAUAACUACUGGAAACGGUGGCUAAUACCGCAUAACGUCGCAAGACCAAAGAGGGGGACCUUCGGGCCUCUUGCCAUCAGAUGUGCCCAGAUGGGAUUAGCUUGUUGGUGAGGUAACGGCUCACCAAGGCGACGAUCCCUAGCUGGUCUGAGAGGAUGACCAGCCACACUGGAACUGAGACACGGUCCAGACUCCUACGGGAGGCAGCAGUGGGGAAUAUUGCACAAUGGGCGCAAGCCUGAUGCAGCCAUGCCGCGUGUAUGAAGAAGGCCUUCGGGUUGUAAAGUACUUUCAGCGGGGAGGAAGGUGUUGCGGUUAAUAACCGCAGCAAUUGACGUUACCCGCAGAAGAAGCACCGGCUAACUCCGUGCCAGCAGCCGCGGUAAUACGGAGGGUGCAAGCGUUAAUCGGAAUUACUGGGCGUAAAGCGCACGCAGGCGGUCUGUCAAGUCGGAUGUGAAAUCCCCGGGCUCAACCUGGGAACUGCAUUCGAAACUGGCAGGCUUGAGUCUUGUAGAGGGGGUAGAAUUCCAGGUGUAGCGGUGAAAUGCGUAGAGAUCUGGAGGAAUACCGGUGGCGAAGGCGGCCCCCUGGACAAAGACUGACGCUCAGGUGCGAAAGCGUGGGGAGCAAACAGGAUUAGAUACCCUGGUAGUCCACGCCGUAAACGAUGUCUACUUGGAGGUUGUGCCCUUGAGGCGUGGCUUCCGGAGCUAACGCGUUAAGUAGACCGCCUGGGGAGUACGGCCGCAAGGUUAAAACUCAAAUGAAUUGACGGGGGCCCGCACAAGCGGUGGAGCAUGUGGUUUAAUUCGAUGCAACGCGAAGAACCUUACCUGGUCUUGACAUCCACAGAAGAAUCCAGAGAUGGAUUUGUGCCUUCGGGAACUGUGAGACAGGUGCUGCAUGGCUGUCGUCAGCUCGUGUUGUGAAAUGUUGGGUUAAGUCCCGCAACGAGCGCAACCCUUAUCCUUUGUUGCCAGCGAUUAGGUCGGGAACUCAAAGGAGACUGCCAGUGAUAAACUGGAGGAAGGUGGGGAUGACGUCAAGUCAUCAUGGCCCUUACGACCAGGGCUACACACGUGCUACAAUGGCGCAUACAAAGAGAAGCGACCUCGCGAGAGCAAGCGGACCUCAUAAAGUGCGUCGUAGUCCGGAUUGGAGUCUGCAACUCGACUCCAUGAAGUCGGAAUCGCUAGUAAUCGUGGAUCAGAAUGCCACGGUGAAUACGUUCCCGGGCCUUGUACACACCGCCCGUCACACCAUGGGAGUGGGUUGCAAAAGAAGUAGGUAGCUUAACCUUCGGGAGGGCGCUUACCACUUUGUGAUUCAUGACUGGGGUGAAGUCGUAACAAGGUAACCGUAGGGGAACCUGCGGUUGGAUCACCUCCUUACCUUAAAGAA